rnacentral:rRNA from 1 species
UAAGCGGAGGAAAAGAAACUAACAAGGAUUCCCCUAGUAACUGCGAGUGAAGCGGGAAAAGCUCAAAUUUAAAAUCUGGCGGUCUUUGGCCGUCCGAGUUGUAAUUUAGAGAAGCGUCUUCCGCGCUGGACCGUGCACAAGUCUCCUGGAAUGGAGCGUCAUAGAGGGUGAGAAUCCCGUCUNUGGCACGGAUGCCUGGUGCUUCUGUGAUGCGCUCUCGAAGAGUCGAGUUGUUUGGGAAUGCAGCUCAAAAUGGGUGGUGAACUCCAUCUAAAGCUAAAUAUUGGCGAGAGACCGAUAGCGAACAAGUACCGUGAGGGAAAGAUGAAAAGCACUUUGGAAAGAGAGUGAAACAGUACGUGAAAUUGUUGAAAGGGAAACGCUUGAAGUCAGUCGCGUCGACCGAGACUCAGCCUUGCCUUGGCUUGGUGUACUUCUCGGCCCGACGGGUCGGCAUCAAUUUUGCCCCUCGGAUAAUGGCAGGGGAAAGGUGGCACCUUUACGGGUGUGUUAUAGUCUCCUGUCGAAUGCGAGGGGUGGGAUUGAGGAACUCAGCGCGCACCUCAGUGUCGGGGCUUCGGCCCACGUCACGCGCUUAGGAUGCUGGCGUAAUGGCUUUAAACGACC